AUACAGAGGGUGCAAGCGUUAAUCGGAUUUACUGGGCGUAAAGCGCGCGUAGGUGGCUAAUUAAGUCAAAUGUGAAAUCCCCGAGCUUAACUUGGGAAUUGCAUUCGAUACUGGUUAGCUAGAGUAUGGGAGAGGAUGGUAGAAUUCCAGGUGUAGCGGUGAAAUGCGUAGAGAUCUGGAGGAAUACCGAUGGCGAAGGCAGCCAUCUGGCCUAAUACGGACACUGAGGUGCGAAAGCAUGGGGAGCAAACAGGAUUAGAUACCCUGGUAGUCCAUGCCGUAAACGGUGUCUACUAGCCGUUGGGGCCCUUGAGGCUUUAGUGGCGCAGCUAACGCGAUAAGUAGACCGCCUGGGGAGUACGGUCGCAAGACUAAAACUCAAAGGAAUUGACGGGG
rnacentral:rRNA from 1 species